UACGUAGGGUGCAAGCGUUGUCCGGAAUUAUUGGGCGUAAAUAGCUCGUAGGCGGUCUGUCGCGUCGGCUGUGAAAACCCGGGGCUCAACCCCGGGCCUGCAGUCGAUACGGGCAGACUAGAGUGCGGUAGGGGAGACUGGAAUUCCUGGUGUAGCGGUGAAAUGCGCAGAUAUCAGGAGGAACACCGGUGGCGAAGGCGGGUCUCUGGGCCGUAACUGACGCUGAGGAGCGAAAGCGUGGGGAGCGAACAGG
rnacentral:rRNA from 1 species